rnacentral:rRNA from 1 species
GACGAACGCUGGCGGCGUGCUUAACACAUGCAAGUCGAACGGAAAGGCCCUGCUUUUGUGGGGUGCUCGAGUGGCGAACGGGUGAGUAACACGUGAGUAACCUGCCCUUGACGUUGGGAUAACUUCAGGAAACUGGGGCUAAUACCGGAUAGGAGCUCCUGCUGCAUGGUGGGGGUUGGAAAGUUUCGGCGGUUGGGGAUGUACUCGCGGCUUAUCAGCUUGUUGGUGGGGUAGUGGCUUACCAAGGCUUUGACUGGUAGCCGGCCUGAGAGGGUGACCGGCCACAUUGGGACUGAGAUACGGCCCAGACUCCUACGGGAGGCAGCAGUGGGGAAUGUUGCACAAUGGGCGGAAGCCUGAUGCAGCGACGCCGCGUGCGGGAUAACGGCCUUCGGGUUGUAAACCGCUUUCGCCUGUGACGAAGCGUAAGUGACGGUAAUGGGUAAAGAAGCACCGGCUAACUACGUG